GAAUCCCGCCCCGCUCGUAGCUCUUCGGAGCUUCUCGGCGAUCUUCGGAAUCCCUCGGGCUCGGCGCGUGCACAGCUUCGGGCACGCUCGGCUCGGCGAGACUUCGGCAACGCUUGAGGAAACCUCCUCACGGCCACCACCUGAGCUUGGCAGCGGCCAAGGCGGUUUGUACCAUCUCAGGGAGAUAAAAAGCACCUCAGAACAGAUUCCGGCAGCUGCCAGAUUGUCCUGACUUGUCCUGCCUCGCCGCUGGCUGCCGAGGGCUCAUUCCAACCCGCUGGCACCUUCCAACGUUCCUGCCGCGCCGCACGUCCCAGGGAGACGCUCCCAGCACCUUCGCUGUGCCCACAGGAAUGCAGGUAUUCCACCACAAUUUUAACAUGCAGGGCCACAUCCAGACCAAAAUAGGAGUCCGGUAACAUCGCCGGUUCCUGCCAGCCAAGCACUGGAGCGUGCAGGCAGCGAUUUUCUCGGCUCCACCGCCCUCUGCGGGUUUGCGCCAUUUCCAGGCAGAUCUCAAGGAAAACAACGGCCACGGCCGCUCUCAGCGCUGCAGGAAACCGAGGGCCUCACACCGAGUCGUGCAGGCAGAAAGUGAGUGCUAUUACUACAUUUCGGUUCCAUCUGGGCGAGAAAACAUGGUAAACACAGUCAGAGAGGUAUUUUAAUGUCUUAUUUAUGCAACACCCAUGUCCCUAGCUCACUGCUGGCUCAGUCCUGCCCAUGCCAGCAGCAGAAACACUCUGUAUUCCCAAAAGUUUGCUACCAGUGGGCUGCAGCCUCCUAGUUUUGCCCCAAAUCCAGCCCCUGAUAACAAUUCCUAGGUUAAACAGUCAAAGAGUAGCCAGCACAUUGGUGGUUAAGGACCAUUAGCCCUACCAGCCUGCAGUCCAGGUCCUGCCUUGCAUUUUUUGGGCAAGCCUGAUGAAGCCAUGGAGCAUCUGCUCAGAGUAAAUGUUGGCCUGUUAUGGACCUGGCAGCAUCCCACCAGCAUCACCAAGCCAUAAAUAAGGAAGUUUGGAGGGAAACCUGCACAGGGCCUGAGCCGCUGGAUCCAACCGCAGCCCAGCCAGCCAAAAACUCACCCGGGAGGAAGGAAAAGCAUCUGGGAAAGACCUCCCUGCCAGGGAGCUGUGUGGGGCCAUGCCAUAGAGAUGGAAAGCAAAGAGCCACCCGCAGUGAGAGUGAGGUUUUUGGGCAAAACCCCCUGGAUUUAGCCUCCAAGAGAGGCAGCAG